rnacentral:snRNA from 1 species
GGAUGUGAGGGCGAUCUGGCUGCAACAUGUCACCCCAUUGAUCGCCAGGGUUGAUUCGGCUGAGCUGGCUGGCUAGGCGGGUGUCCCCUUCCUCCCUCACCGCUCCAUGUGCAUCCCUCCCAAAGCUGCUCGCUGGGUCAAAGAGAACGGCCUUCCCCAAAUAGAGAUGACAGGUCGAGGGUAUAGGAGUAGCUGCGCUCCCCUGCUAGAACCUCCAAACAAGCUCUCAAGAAUAUCAACACUUUUAAGUUUUUUUCUUCCAAAUCUCUUUAGUCCACUGUAUUU